rnacentral:tRNA from 1 species
AGCCCUAUAUUCUAAAUUAAGAUGAUGAGCUGCAACCUCAUCGAUGAAAUAAAUUUCUGGGGCCU